AUCACAGAGCGUGCAGAAGAUUUUUUUGAAACAAGCCAUGAAAAACAGAUUGAAAUUCUGAAUGCACAUGUGUUUGCCCAGGGUAAAAGAAUCAAUGAAACUGCCAAUAAGGUAGCUGCAGUGGAUGGCGUUUGGAUGAACAUGAGUAAUACACAAAAAGCAUUUGAAUCGAAACUCGACUCUGAAUUUCGGCUCAU